rnacentral:lncRNA from 1 species
GCAUUAAAAAGCAGAGGCUCUGAUCCAGCUUUGUUGCCCUGAAAGGGAACGUCUGUUGUAAACAACGUUCUGGACCUCGUCGACAAGAACUCCACUCCCAACUCUGCAAAGAUUAGACUUUACAUUUAGUCUGCCAUUACCCUCUGACCUUAGUGAACAGGAUGAAGGUGACCAGGUAUUCUCAUUCUUCAAACAAAGCAUGACCCAGUUUUGAAUGGGCUGCUGCAUCCUCUGCCAGCUUGUGAUGCCACAUCUGGAUUCUACUUGCUGCCCUGGUGAUUGGCAGAGCCUCACGGUUUCUUCUGGAAUGAACAGCCAUUGAUGAUUCGAUCACAUCGAAAAACAAUCCAGAGAACAGAAUCCAUUUGAGAUAAAGAAGACACCUUUCAUAUCAGUAACUGGAAGACAGUCAAGGAGACCUCUCUGAGAUCCUGCAUUGACCCCCACAGACAGCUUCCUGUUCCACUGGAAUUAGAGGCAGUUGGGGAAAGUCUCAAAUCAUCAC